ACUUUUCUCAAGGAUGGGUCGAUGCAAUACCUGAGAAACAACAGAGAUGCACCAUCAGAUAACAGCAUGUCCGAAGCUGAACAUAUCUGCCUGAAAUACCCACUGCUCCCAGGAAAUCAGAAAUCACCCGAGAGAAAGAACAGCUUCCUGAAGAGGGCGAAUGAGGUUGGCAAGGGCAUAGAAGAACACGUCCAGAAGACAAAUGGAUAAGAAGAUGGACAAAACACCACCAUGGCUCCCUAAGCAGCGGCUGACUCUUGGGAAACAGCAAUCAGAGCAGGCGGUGAAUGGCCCAGCUCUGCAAGGCAGCAUCCAGCAGGUGGGAGUGUGGAGUUGUGGAAGGCUGGCAAUCCUGAGCAGAACCGGUUGGUUGCUGGGACACUGUGCGGGGAGAUCAACUCUAGCCACUCCUUUGCUCUUUGUCAGAGCCCUGGUGAUUCAGGGCAGCAGAGGAAGCAAAAGGGUCAUGUGGCCUCUGCUCCUCUCUCCUCUGUCCUCAAGCUUGCAGUUCUAAGGUCCUGAUGAUGGGGACCGCUUCCUAAUGGAGUGUGUGCCCUGUUGUCUCUGAAUCCAGGCACAACAAUAUCCUCACAGACAGACCUGUCACUGUGAGUGGUGAGGGAGUUCUGCCACCUUCUCCAGCUUCAGUCCUCAAAUAACGCACGUGAGAACUCUGGUAGACUGAAGACUCUAAGAAUAUAUGGAUUUAUUACUAAUAAUCAAUGGUAGUUAAGAGC